rnacentral:rRNA from 1 species
UGGGGAAUAUUGCACAAUGGGCGAAAGCCUGAUGCAGCAACGCCGCGUGAGUGAUGAAGGUCUUCGGAUUGUAAAGCUCUGUCUUUUGGGACGAUAAUGACGGUACCAAAGGAGGAAGCCACGGCUAACUACGUGCCAGCAGCCGCGGUAAUACGUAGGUGGCGAGCGUUGUCCGGAUUUACUGGGCGUAAAGGGUGCGUAGGCGGAUGUUUAAGUGAGAUGUGAAAUACCCGGGCUUAACUCGGGUGCUGCAUUUCAAACUGGAUAUCUAGAGUGCAGGAGAGGAGAAUGGAAUUCCUAGUGUAGCGGUGAAAUGCGUAGAGAUUAGGAAGAACACCAGUGGCGAAGGCGAUUCUCUGGACUGUAACUGACGCUGAGGCACGAAAGCGUGGGUAGCAAACAGGAUUAGAUACCCUGGUAGUCCACGCCGUAAACGAUGAGUACUAGGUGUAGGAGGUAUCGACCCCUUCUGUGCCGCAGUAAACACAUUAAGUACUCCGCCUGGGAAGUACGAUCGCAAGAUUAAAAC